rnacentral:lncRNA from 1 species
ACCGAUUCCUGGCCUUCUAGGAAUUGGUACUCAAUACAGAAAAAAAAAAUAUUAUUUUUUGCUUCCUGUGGAAUAGAAGCUUGUGAGAGGGUGACUGUGAGUGAGUGAGUCUAUUUAUUAUUUGUGUGUGUGUGUUGAAAAGAGUGCCCGUUCCGAUCUGUUUGUCCAGACGUGACUUAUCAAUAUUUCUUGGUCCAAGGCAAGUCUCAAACAUAGUCCGGCCUCUUUUAUGAGAAUUUUGGGGAUUUUGGAGUGUGGCGCAUCAAUAAAAUAAAUAAAAAAGAAAGAAACGCCAAGAUGUGAACUUUUAAAAUAAGCAAAAAAUAAAUAAAUAAAUAAAAAAAUGACAACAAUCACGUCAAUGCCGGGGAAAAAAAAAAGUUUAAUUAGUGUGACUCUGUGUUUGUUUUAUUUUGUUAGUUGUGUAUCUAAAUCAGUGUCUCUUUCAUUUCCACAUAGAGAGGUUGCUGGAGAUUAGACUCAUCAGAUUCAUCUGUGCAGCUUCAUGAUGACUGAAUGAUUCAUGGAAGACACACAAAGAUCCGGAGAUGGAGAUUCUUCUCCAGGAAUUAGAAGCCCAAUCCAGCAGGAGAGAUCAGACCCUACAGAAGCCAGCUGUGUGUCUGUGAGGAGCGACAAGUCAUUUGAGCUUCUACCUGACUUUAAAAAUGAAAGCAUUCCUCCUGGUUUUAGAAGCCCAAUCCAGCAGGAGAGAUCAGACCCUACAGAAGCCAGCUGUGUGUCUGUGAGGAGCGACACGUCAUUUGAGCUUCUACCUGACUUUAAAAAUGAAAGCAUUCCUCCUGGUUUUAGACCAAUUAAGCGGAAAAGAUCCGACUCACUGGAACCCAGCUGUGUGUCUACGGAGAGUAAUCCAUCAAUGGCAGAUUCACUGCACAUUGGAGAUAACAGGAUAUCAUUUGAUUCUAGUGACCCUCAAAAUGCUGGUGCCCAUAACACACUCAAAUCAAAUCUGAUGAAGAAGUUUCAGUAUCUGUAUGAGGGAACAGCAAAGCAGGGAAACCCAACACUCCUGAAUGAGAUCUACACAGAGCUCUACAUCACAGAGAGUGAGAGUGGAGAGAUCAGUAAUGCGCAUGAGUUGAGACAGAUUGAGACAC